CUGAAUAGCAGCACAAGGUCCCUGAUGGAGUCAGGCUGCUUCAUCUCAAGCACAUCAUACAGGUGAACCCAGAUUGCUGAGUUUGUUUCAAUCUGAUUGCAUUUUCCAGAGCGGCAAUCACUGUCGAUGGCGGUGAUUAAGGUCUCUUUGGAAAGUGCAGCUUACAUUAGAAGCUGGGGAAUUGGAUCUCAGAUUGGGAGAGGUACCUGUGAGAGCUCAGCGGGUUACCACUACAAAAAGAAAAGUCAUAUGCAUUUAACAGAGAACUCUUACUUGGCUGCACUCGUCUCCAGAGUGUAGGUCUUGUUGUCCCAGUCAUCAGGAUCUGGGGCAUACACCCUCCCCAUGGCCGCAUUUCCCAUCCUUCCUGUUCAAGGUCUGUGGAUUACAGAAAACUACUGCAGAGUUAAACCUCUCAGCAGUGAUGAUCUCAGCCUCUCACCUGCAGCACAAACACAGGUGACCCAUCCAGCUCCUCUGUGACUGAUCCAUAGUACUCGCUCAUGGAGAACACGGGCGCCUCAUCAUUUUUAUUAACCACAGUAACGACCACAGCGGCGUAGUCCUCCCACUUUCCAUCUGAGGCAAGGACCAGCAGCUUGUAUCUCUUCUGCUCCUCGUAAUCCAGCGGCUGGGCGAUGAAAAUCGUCCCCACCUCUGGCUCGAUGUCAAACACACCUCCUUUGUUGCCAGAUGUGAUCUGGUAGCGCAGCUUGGCAUUUGCACCUGUGGCAUGAAUCACAGAAUGCAUGAAUGAGAUUAAAUCACCAACAAGGCUCAGCAAUUAAA